UACGUAGGGGGCAAGCGUUGUCCGGAAUCAUUGGGCGUAAAGCGCGUGUAGGCGGCCUUGUAAGUCCGUUCUGAAAGCCCGGGGCUCAACCCCGGGAGGCGGAUGGAUACUGCAGGGCUCGAGUACGGAAGAGGCGAGUGGAAUUCCCGGUGUAGCGGUGAAAUGCGCAGAUAUCGGGAGGAACACCAAUGGCGAAGGCAGCUCGCUGGACCACAACUGACGCUGAGGCGCGAAAGCUAGGGGAGCAAACAGG
rnacentral:rRNA from 1 species